rnacentral:lncRNA from 1 species
GUCCAGGUUUCAAAUCUCAGCCUCUCGAGAACAAAAAUUCAGAUAAAAAAUUUAAACCUAUUCAAAGUCGUUGUUCUCCUAUACUUGUCAGGCCUAAAGCAGAUAACUUGAAAAAAGAAUCGAAAAAAAAAGCUAAUGCGAAAUUAAAUAUCGUAUCUGUUUCUAAAACAUAUACGAAAAAAAGAAUUUACGAUUCAUUCGAAAAAGGAAUCUUGAUGUCGGAUUAGUAUAAUGCCAAUUUAUUUCAUGAAUUUAUUAGCACUGUGCUUACGCUAUAACGCGUGGCUGCCAUGGAUAUCUCAAGAUAAGAGUGGCGAAAAAAUUUCCAUUUUGUUUUGUCUUACUUAGUAUACUUUGGUUCUAUCCUAAAG